rnacentral:rRNA from 1 species
AAUAUUGCGCAAUGGGGGAAACCCUGCCGCAGCAACGCCGCGUGAGCGAAGAAGGCCUUCGGGUCUUAAAGCUCUGUCAUAAGGGAAGAAGUCUCUAUUUAGUAGUGGUGACUGUACCUUAAGAGGAAGCCCCGGAUAACUACGUGCCAGCUGCCGCGGUAACACGUAGGGGGCAAGCGUUGUCCGGAAUUCUUGGGCGUAAAGGGCGUGUAGGCGGUUAAUUAAGACAGGUGUGAAAGCCCAGGGCACAAACCCGUGAUUGCACCUGAAACUGGUUAACUUGAGGGCAAGAGAGGAAAGUGGAAUUCCUAGUGUAGCGGUGAAAUGCGUAGAUAUUAGGGGGAACACCAGUGGCGAAGGCGACUUUCUGGCUUGACCCUGACGCUGAGGCGCGAAAGCGUGGGGAGCAAACA